AACGCUAGCUACAGGCUUAACACAUGCAAGUCGAGGGGUACCAUGGUCAAAGCUUGCUUUGACUGAUGACGACCGGCGGAUGGGUGAGUAACACGUAUCCAACCUACCGUAUACACGGGGAUAGCCUUUCGAAAGAAAGAUUAAUACCCGAUGGUAUAAAGAGUUCGCAUGUUCUCUUUAUUAAAGAAUUUCGGUAAGCGAUGGGGAUGCGUUCCAUUAGAUAGUUGGCGGGGUAACGGCCCACCAAGUCUACGAUGGAUAGGGGUUCUGAGAGGAAGGUCCCCCACAUUGGAACUGAGACACGGUCCAAACUCCUACGGGAGGCAGCAGUGAGGAAUAUUGGUCAAUGGACGCGAGUCUGAACCAGCCAAGUAGCGUGAAGGAUGACUGCCCUAUGGGUUGUAAACUUCUUUUAUAAGGGAAUAAAGUGAGGGACGUGUCCCUUUUUGUAUGUACCUUAUGAAUAAGGAUCGGCUAACUCCGUGCCAGCAGCCGCGGUAAUACGGAGGAUCCAAGCGUUAUCCGGAUUUAUUGGGUUUAAAGGGAGCGUAGGCCGUCGUUUAAGCGUGUUGUGAAAUGCCGCGGCUCAACCGUGGCACUGCAGCGCGAACUGGAUGACUUGAGUGCGCGGGAAGCGGGCGGAAUUCGUGGUGUAGCGGUGAAAUGCUUAGAUAUCACGAAGAACUCCGAUUG
rnacentral:rRNA from 1 species